GCUGUCGGGGGACUUUGAGGAUGUGGUCACCUGAUUUCCAUUUUUAAAAAAGGUAACUUUGGAGACUGGAUUAGCACGAGAGGGAGCAGGAAACCUGAUUGGCAGUCCAUUAACCACUGUCUAGCCAAACAGGACGCUGACUUGGAAGGCCAGUGGAGAUGGAGGAAAUCAGAGAGAUAUGGGAUCUGCUUUGGAGGUAGAGCCAGCAGGAGGAAAGAAGAAUCCAGGAUGCUGCUGAAGUCUUGGGGAGGUGCUCACGUGGAGUGUGAGGUCUUGCCUGACCCCAGGCUGGCAGGUGGCCUUUGUCUCCGCGAGUCAGAAGGGCAUCAAACCACGACCUGAGGUUUAACUGCACAGCCCUGCUCCUGGCGACGGAACAAGGCUGCUAUUACGAGGGAACAGAAUCAACAGGGAAGCGGCAAGCGGGAGGCAAGCUUUAAGCUCUGUGGUUUCACCCCAGUAGGAGGACGUGAUGACACCUCCAGGACAAAAGGAAAAGGAUCCUGAGAUGCGUUGUUUCCCGUCUACUCUGAGAUGCUUCCCAGUAGGAGGGGCACAAUGAUAGGCACACAUUUCCCUUGGGCAACAUCAGAUGAGAAAGCGAUCGCUUUUCCAUUGCAGGCGAAACAGAGAAACAGGAAACCCAAAGGCAACGACUUGCUUGGAGGCCUCCAAGUGCCGUGAGAAGAACAUGCCUGUUCAUUCAAGGAGGAUGAGAGACACCUAGAGCAGACCCUGAUGUAACCCACACCUUGAAGCCCAGCCCAGACAGUCUAGAUCAUCUGAAAACCAGCCAAUUUGCAGAUGCUUUUAUGAGAAAAUGGAAGAAGCAAGAAGAUAAGUGACUUACCCAAGCUUCCACAACUUCCCCCAAAUUUUAUAACCUUCAAGGCCUACCAACCUGGAACCAGCUCUGAUUAAGCAUCUAUUAUAGGAGCCAGGCAUAUCUAGAUGCUAGAAAUACAACAAUGAAUGGAAUAGACACUGGUGGUUUUAAAAUGUCUACAAGAAAAGAAUCUGAAAAAGAAUAUAUAUACGUCUAACUGAAUCACUUUGCUCUACACCUGAAACACUGUAAAUCAACUGUACUUCAAUAAAAAGAAUUUUUUAAAGUGUAAACAUAUUGGGGGAAAAUAUUCGGUGACACUCCCCCUUCACAAGGCAGAAGCCCCUCCCUUUGAGCUUAGGCUGGACCUCAUGACUUGUUUCUAAGGAGUAGAAUAUUGUGCAGAUGACACUGAGCAACGUCCAAGACGAGUCAGAAAACACACUGUGGCUUCCUCCUUGCUCUUUCCCUCUGGAAGGCAACGGCCAUGUCCUGAGAACAUUCAAGCAGCAUUAUGGAAAAGUCCACAUGGGGAGGAACUGAGGCCUCCAGCCAGCAGCCCUGUGAGCUCCAUCUGAGAAGCAGAUCCUCCAACUCCAGUCAAGCCUUUAGAUGCUGGCGGCCUCGACCAACAUCCUGACUAUAUCGUGACUACUUACAAGAAACCUUGAGCCAGAGCCACCUGUCCAGACUGCUCUCAGUGAUUCCUAACCUCAGAAACGGUGUGAGAUAAGAAAUGUUUGUUAUUUUCAGCUGCUGAGUUUUGGGGUAGUUUGUUACACAGCAAGAGAUAAAUAAUACACUACCAAAAGUCCUGUUUUAAUGAUUCUUACAUUCUGAUGUUUGUUUAGGGGCAAUGAAUAAAUGUUUUCUGAGGAAAUGAUGAAUGACAGUAAAUCAAAUAAAUGUAUCAGAU